GUCGAACGCUGGCGGCGUGCCUAAUACAUGCAAGUAGAACGCUGAAGAGAGGAGCUUGCUCUUCUUGGAUGAGUUGCGAACGGGUGAGUAACGCGUAGGUAACCUGCCUUGUAGCGGGGGAUAACUAUUGGAAACGAUAGCUAAUACCGCAUAACAAUAGGUGACACAUGUCAUUUAUUUGAAAGGGGCAAUUGCUCCACUACAAGAUGGACCUGCGUUGUAUUAGCUAGUAGGUGAGGUAACGGCUCACCUAGGCGACGAUACAUAGCCGACCUGAGAGGGUGAUCGGCCACACUGGGACUGAGACACGGCCCAGACUCCUACGGGAGGCAGCAGUAGGGAAUCUUCGGCAAUGGGGGCAACCCUGACCGAGCAACGCCGCGUGAGUGAAGAAGGUUUUCGGAUCGUAAAGCUCUGUUGUAAGUCAAGAACGAGUGUGAGAGUGGAAAGUUCACACUGUGACGGUAGCUUACCAGAAAGGGACGGCUAACUACGUG
rnacentral:rRNA from 1 species